GCAUGCCGGGCGAUCUGUCAGCCGGCAGAUCGCCCGAUCUGUCGGCGGCAUGCCGGGCGAUCUGUCGGCCGGCAGAUCGCCCGAUCUGU
rnacentral:pre_miRNA from 1 species